AAAGAAAGCGUAAUAGCUCACUGGUCGAGUCGGCCUGCGCGGAAGAUGUAACGGGGCUAAACCAUGCACCGAAGCUGCGGCAGCGACGCUUAUGCGUUGUUGGGUAGGGGAGCGUUCUGUAAGCCUGCGAAGGUGGCCUGUGAGGGUUGCUGGAGGUAUCAGAAGUGCGAAUGCUGACAUAAGUAACGAUAAAGCGGGUGAAAAGCCCGCUCGCCGGAAGACCAAGGGUUCCUGUCCAACGUUAAUCGGGGCAGG
rnacentral:rRNA from 2 species